GCGUUACAGAGCUACAGCGGUCUCCGGGUGGCGAAGUGCGGAGACGGGGUUUUGGAGACGGUGGAUGGAGGAGGGGGAGGGAAAGCUGCCAACUUUGGAUACCAACCCCGUACACCCACCGAAGGGGAUGUCCCACUUUUUCCAGCGCUGGGAGCAAAAAGAUAACAGUGAGCGAGGUUGAAAAGUAAGACAUUGAUUUAAAUAGAAGAAAAACUGUUGUUUCAACCAACGAAGAGAUUCUUUGUUUUCUUAUCUGUAAAAUGUGAAAAAUCGUACCUAACCUACAGGGUGAUUGUGAGGAGUAAUUGAAAUAAAAUUCGAGGAAUUGUGUAACGUGAAGUACCAUGAACAAUAAAACAGGAGGCAGAAUGAAAAGUAA
rnacentral:lncRNA from 1 species